UACGUAGGGUGCAAGCGUUGUCCGGAAUUAUUGGGCGUAAAGGGCUCGUAGGCGGUUUGUCGCGUCGGGAGUGAAAUCCACUGGCUUAACUGGUGGCUUGCUUUCGAUACGGGCAGGCUGGAGUUCGGUAGGGGAGACUGGAAUUCCUGGUGUAGCGGUGAAAUGCGCAGAUAUCAGGAGGAACACCGGUGGCGAAGGCGGGUCUCUGGGCCGAUACUGACGCUGAGGAGCGAAAGCGUGGGGAGCGAACAGG
rnacentral:rRNA from 1 species